GACGAACGCUGGCGGCGUGCUUAACACAUGCAAGUCGAACGGAAAGGCCUCUUUCGGGGGGUACUCGAGUGGCGAACGGGUGAGUAACACGCGAGUAACCUGCCCUUGACUUUGGGAUAACUUCAGGAAACUGGGGCUAAUACCGGAUAGGAGCUCCUGCUGCAUGGUGGGGGUUGGAAAGGUUCGGCGGUUGGGGAUGGACUCGCGGCUUAUCAGCUUGUUGGUGGGGUAGUGGCUUACCAAGGCUUUGACGGGUAGCCGGCCUGAGAGGGUGACCGGCCACAUUGGGUCUGAGAUACGGCCCAGACUCCUACUGGAGGCAGCAGUGGGGAAUAUUGCACAAUGGGUGGCGGCCUGAUGCAGCACCGCCUUGUGCGGGAUGACGGCCUUCGGGUUGUAAACCGCUUUCGCUCAUGACGAAGCUUUGUGUGACGGUAGUGGGUAAAGAAGCACCGGCUAACUACGUG
rnacentral:rRNA from 1 species